UACGUAGGGGGCUAGCGUUAUCCGGAAUUACUGGGCGUAAAGGGUGCGUAGGUGGUUUCUUAAGUCAGAGGUGAAAGGCUACGGCUCAACCGUAGUAAGCCUUUGGAACUGGGAAACUUGAGUGCAGGAGAGGAGAGUGGAAUUCCUAGUGUAGCGGUGAAAUGCGUAGAUAUUAGGAGGAACACCAGUUGCGAAGGCGGCUCUCUGGACUGUAACUGACACUGAGGCACGAAAGCGUGGGGAGCAAACAGG
rnacentral:rRNA from 1 species